CCUACGGGUGGCAGCAGUGGGGAUAUUGCACAAUGGGGGAAACCCUGAUGCAGCAACGCCGCGUGUGGGAAGAAGGUUUUCGGAUUGUAAACCACUGUUCUUGGUGAAGAUAAUGACGGUAACCAAGGAGAAAGCUCCGGCUAACUACGUGCCAGCAGCCGCGGUAAUACGUAGGGAGCAAGCGUUGUCCGGAUUUACUGGGUGUAAAGGGUGCGUAGGCGGUCUUGCAAGUCAGACGUGAAAACCACAGGCUCAACCUGUGGACUGCGUUUGAAACUGGGGGGCUUGGAGGAAGUAGAGGGAGGCGGAAUGCCCGGGGUAGCGGUGCAAGUCG
rnacentral:rRNA from 1 species